AGAGUUUGAUCCUGGCUCAGAGCGAACGCUGGCGGCGUGCUUAACACAUGCAAGUCGAGUGCGCGUCUGUAGCAAUACAGAUGGCGCACGGCGCACGGGUGCGUAACACGUGGGUAAUCUGCCCUUCGAAGGGGAAUAACUCGCCGAAAGGCGAGCUAAUUCCGCAUAACAUUCCUUGGACUUUGGUUUGAGGACUCAAAGGCGUAAGUCGUCGGAGGAGGAGCCCGCGCACGAUUAGCUAGUUGGUGAGGUAAUGGCUCACCAAGGCUAUGAUCGUUAGCUGGUCUGAGAGGAUGGCCAGCCACACUGGAACUGAGACACGGUCCAGACUCCUACGGGAGGCAGCAGUGGGGAAUCUUGCACAAUGGGCGAAAGCCUGAUGCAGCGACGCCGCGUGGGGGAUGAAGCUUCUCGGAGUGUAAACCCCUUUCGACCCGGACGAAUGCCCCGCAAGGGGACUGACGGUACGGGUAUAAGAAGCCCCGGCUAACUACGUGCCAGCAGCCGCGGUAAGACGUAGGGGGCCAGCGUUGCUCGGAAUUACUGGGUGUAAAGGGUUCGUAGGCGGUGUGGCAAGUCGGGAGUGAAAUCUCUGGGCUCAACCCAGAGUCUGCUUCCGAAACUGCUGUGCUUGAGUGUGGGAGAGGCGCGUGGAAUUGCAGGUGUAGCGGUGAAAUGCGUAGAUAUCUGCAGGAACACCCGUGGCGAAAGCGGCGCGCUGGACCACUACUGACGCUGAGGAACGAAAGCUAGGGGAGCAAACAGGAUUAGAUACCCUGGUAGUCCUAGCCCUAAACGAUCAGGACUUGGGGUGCCACCCGUUCGGGUGUCGUCCCGGAGCUAACGCGUUAAGUCCUGCACCUGGGGAGUACGGUCGCAAGACUGAACUCAAGGAAUUGACGGGGCCCGCACAGCGGUGGAACAUGUGGUUCAAUUCGACGCUACGCGAGGAACCUUACCUGGGCUCGAAAU
rnacentral:rRNA from 1 species